rnacentral:tRNA from 1 species
GGAGGGAUCGCAUAGUGGUCUAGUGCGUCUGCUUGGAGAGCAGAUAUACCGCAAGGUAUCGCGAGUUCGAAUCUCGCUCCCUCCGCCA